rnacentral:rRNA from 1 species
ACUCCUACGGGAGGCAGCAGUGGGGAAUAUUGGACAAUGGGCGGAAGCCUGAUCCAGCAACGCCGCGUGAGGGAUGACGGCCUUCGGGUUGUAAACCUCUUUCAGCACAGACGAAGCGAAAGUGACGGUAUGUGCAGAAGAAGCACCGGCCAACUACGUGCCAGCAGCCGCGGUAAUACGUAGGGUGCGAGCGUUGUCCGGAAUUAUUGGGCGUAAAGGGCUCGUAGGCGGUUUGUCGCGUCGGGAGUGAAAACCAGAGGCUUAACUUCUGGCUGGCUUUCGAUACGGGCAGACUAGAGGUAUGCAGGGGAGAACGGAAUUCCUGGUGUAGCGGUGAAAUGCGCAGAUAUCAGGAGGAACACCGGUGGCGAAGGCGGUUCUCUGGGCAUUACCUGACGCUGAGGAGCGAAAGUGUGGGGAGCGAACAGGAUUAGAUACCCUGGUAGUCCACACCGUAAACGUUGGGCGCUAGGUGUGGGGCCUAUUCCAUGGGUUCCGUGCCGCAGCUAACGCAUUAAGCGCCCCGCCUGGGGAGUACGGCCGCAAGGCUAAAACUCAAAGGAAUUGACGGGGGCCCGCACAAGCGGCGGAGCAUGCGGA